rnacentral:rRNA from 1 species
UUAUCUGAACCUUCGGGGAACGAUAACGGCGUCGAGCGGCGGACGGGUGAGUAAUGCCUAGGAAAUUGCCCUGAUGUGGGGGAUAACCAUUGGAAACGAUGGCUAAUACCGCAUGAUGCCUACGGGCCAAAGAGGGGGACCUUCGGGCCUCUCGCGUCAGGAUAUGCCUAGGUGGGAUUAGCUAGUUGGUGAGGUAAGGGCUCACCAAGGCGACGAUCCCUAGCUGGUCUGAGAGGAUGAUCAGCCACACUGGAACUGAGACACGGUCCAGACUCCUACGGGAGGCAGCAGUGGGGAAUAUUGCACAAUGGGCGCAAGCCUGAUGCAGCCAUGCCGCGUGUAUGAAGAAGGCCUUCGGGUUGUAAAGUACUUUCAGUCGUGAGGAAGGCGGCGUCGUUAAUAGCGGCGUUGUUUGACGUUAGCGACAGAAGAAGCACCGGCUAACUCCGUGCCAGCAGCCGCGGUAAUACGGAGGGUGCGAGCGUUAAUCGGAAUUACUGGGCGUAAAGCGCAUGCAGGUGGUUUGUUAAGUCAGAUGUGAAAGCCCGGGGCUCAACCUCGGAAUAGCAUUUGAAACUGGCAGACUAGAGUACUGUAGAGGGGGGGUAGAAUUUCAUGUGUAGCGGUGAAAUGCGUAGAGAUCU